UACGUAGGGCGCAAGCGUUGUCCGGAAUUAUUGGGCGUAAAGAGCUCGUAGGCGGUUUGUUGCGUCGGCUGUGAAAUCCCGAGGCUCAACCUCGGGUCUGCAGUCGAUACGAGCAAACUAGAGUGUUGCAGGGGAGACUGGAAUUCCUGGUGUAGCGGUGAAAUGCGCAGAUAUCAGGAGGAACACCGGGUGGCGAAGGCAGG
rnacentral:rRNA from 1 species